CACCACCACACAGCUUUCCAAUCGCAGGAUUAGAUAUCAUUUCAAAACAAGUUAUCAUGGAGAAGCAAAACUUAGAGUUGUACAUGGAAAAUUGUCAAAUGAUUCGCGAAAAUGAAAGAUUGCGUAAGACAGCUGAACGACUGAACCAGGAGAAUCAGGCCUUGCUUUCAAAGUUAAAGCAGAAACUUUUAGAAGCAACUGCCCAACAAAAAUCUGAUGCCCAACUCAAAAUCAGCUCCAGCUCAUCAUCGGAAAA